AAAAUUAGAGUGUUCAAAGCAGGCAGAUCCAAUUUUCUGCCACCGAAUACAUUAGCAUGGGAUAAUGGAAUAGGACCCUGUCCUCCUAUUUUCAGUUGGUUUUGGCAGCGCGAGGACUAGGGUAAUGAUUAAUAGGGAUAGUUGGGGGCAUUAAUAUUUAAUUGUCAGAGGUGAAAUUCUUGGAUUUAUGAAAGAUUAACUUCUGCGAAAGCAUCUGCCAAGGAUGUUUUCAUUAAUCAAGAACGAAAGUUAGGGGAUCGAAGACGAUCAGAUACCGUCGUAGUCUUAACCAUAAACGAUGCCGACCAGCGAUUAGGAGACGUUGAAUACAAAACACCACCAUCGGCGCGGUCGUCCUUGGCGUGUCUCGGCUUCACGGCCGGGGCGCGCGAGGGCGGUUAGCCCUA
rnacentral:rRNA from 1 species